UCUGCAUGAUUUAGCGGCGGACGGGUGAGUAAUGCCUAGGAAUCUGCCUGGUAGUGGGGGAUAACGUUCCGAAAGGAACGCUAAUACCGCAUACGUGCUACGGGAGAAAGCAGGGGACCUUCGGGCCUUGCGCUAUCAGAUGAGCCUAGGUCGGAUUAGCUUGUUGGUGAGGUAAUGGCUCACCAAGGCGACGAUCCGUAACUGGUCGGAGAGGAUGAUCAGUCACACUGGAACUGAGACACGGUCCAGACUCCUACGGGAGGCAGCAGUGGGGAAUAUUGGACAAUGGGCGAAAGCCUGAUCCAGCCAUGCCGCGUGUGUGAAGAAGGUCUUCGGAUUGUAAAGCACUUUAAGUUGGGAGGAAGGGCGUUUGGCUAAUAUCCAAGCGUUUUGACGUUACCGACAGAAUAAGCACCGGCUAGCUUCGUGCCAGCAGCCGCGGUAAU
rnacentral:rRNA from 1 species